CUCGUUGGUGACCAGCGGAGGGAUCAUUACAGAGUGCCCUUUGGCUCUGCAAACCCCGCGAACAGCAUACCCUGUUGCCUCGGCGGCGCUGCGCCAGCAGCCCGCCGGCGGCCCUGAAUAAACUCUUUAGUAGCCGCCGUCCUUCUGACUAAGAUUCAUAAUAAGUAAAAACUUUUAGCGGCGGAUCUCUUGGCUCAAGCAUCGAUGAAGAACGCAGCGAAAUGCGAUAACUAGUGUGAAUUGCAGAAUUCAGUGAACCAUCGAGUCUUUGAACGCACAUUGCGGCCGCCGGCACUCCGGCGGCCACGCCUGUCCGAGCGCCACUAGCACCCUCAGGCCCUGUUGCCUGGCGCUGGGAGCCUGCCCUCAGCGGCGGGCCCCCGAAAAGCAGUGGCAGCAGCGCCAGCGGCGUUACGUGUUCAGUAGCAUACCACUAACACGGCACCCCGGCGUCUGCUCGCUGGCCCGAACCCCUAAUUAUCAAGUGGUUGGCCUCGGAUCAGGCGGGACUACCCGCUGAACUUAA
rnacentral:rRNA from 1 species